rnacentral:rRNA from 1 species
CCUCAGGUUAAGUGAGAUUACCCAUUGAGUUUAAGCAUAUCAAUAAGUGGAGGGGAAGAAACUUACCAAGAUUCCCCUAGUAACGGCAAGUGAAUCGAAAAGAGUCUAGCUUAAGAAUUAGGUGCCCUCAGCAUUUGAAUUGUAGUCUAGAGAAGCAUCUUCAGCAAUGGACCAAGCUUAAGUUCCUUGGAAAAGGGCAUCAGAGACGAUGAGAGCCCUAUUGUGCUUGGACCCUAUCAUAACAUGAAGCACUAUCUGUGAGUCGGGUUGUUUAGGAAUGCAACCCCAAUCAGGCUAUAAAUUUUAUCCAAGGUGAGAAUUUGAUAGCAAACAAAUGCUGUAAUGGAAAAAUGGAAAGGACUUUCAAAUAAGAGUGAAAGAGUACUUGAAAUUAUUAGAAAGGAAGCAGAUGGGGGCCUGCGAUAUGACCUGAUUGGAUGUGGAAAGGCAAGAGCUAGUUUACUGAUCAACUUGGUGCAUGGACUGACACGGGUCAUGAUGGUAGCCCAAGCUUGGGAGCAAAGAUGUUGUAGCUACAAUCAUGGAAUGUAACACGUGCUAUCUCGGCAUGCCUCUUACACUAGUAUGCUUUUGGCAUCUGCCUAUGUGCUCCCCAUCCAUCUAGUCUUAAAACAUAGACCUAAGAGUCUGACAUGUGUGCAAGUCAAUAGGUUAGAAAACCCAUAAGGUGCAAGGAAGCUAAUUGGUAGGAUCCCUCAUGGGUGCACCACUAACCAACCUUGAUCUUCUAAAUGCCUGUCGAGACCUGAAAGAUGGUGAACUGUGCCUGAGUGGGGAAAAACCAGAGGAAACUCUAGUGGAGUCCCAUAGUGAUAUGACAUACAAAUCGUUCAUUUGACUUGGGUAUAAGGGUAAAAGACUAAUCAAACCAUCUAGUAGUUGGUUCCCUCUGAAGUUUCCCUUAUGGUAGCUAGAGCCCAUAGUGAGUUCUAUCAGGUAAAGCCAAUGAUUAGAGGCAUCAAAGGUGCAAUGCCCUUGACCUAUUCUUAAACUUUAAAUAGGUAGGAUGGCAUAUCUACUUCAUUAAGCCAUGUCAUGGAAUCGAGAGCUCCAAGUGGACCAUUUUUGGUAAACAAAACUAGCAAUGCAGGAUGACCUAAAAGCUAGGUUCUGGUUCCUAAUUGUGCACUAACCUAGAACCCAUAAAUGGUGUUGGUCAAUUAAGAUAGCGAGAUGGUGGUCAUGGAAGUCAAAAUCCACUCAGGAGUGCAUAACAACUCACUUACCAAAUCAACUAGCCCUGAAAGUGGAUGGCACUUAAGCGCGUGACCUAUACUAGGCAGUCGGGGGCAAAGACCAGGCCUUGAUAAGUAAAUAGGCAUGACGGCCACCACAAAACCCAAGAUGUGAGCUUGAGUAGAGCAACCAUUAGUGCAAAUCUUGGUGGUAGUAGCAAAUAUUCAAAUGAAAACUUUCAAGGCCAAAUAAGGGAAAGGUUCCAUAUGAACAGCCUUUGCACAUGGGUUAGUCAAUCCUACGAGAUAGGGGAAGCCUAUUUGAUAGUGCAUCCAAUGUGAGCUUCGAAAGGGAAUUGGGUUAAAAUCCCUAAACUAGGAUGCAGUGGUUGAUAACAAUGUUAGAGAGUUCAAAGACAUUGACGGAGACCUCAAGAAGAGUUAUAUUUUAUGUUUAAUAGCCUACCCAACCUGGAAAUGACUCGACCAGAGGUAGGGUCUAGCAGUUGAAAGAGAAUUACAUGCCACAUAGUGUUUGGUACACCACUAGCGGCUUUUGAAAAUCCAAAGGAUUGAGUGCCAUCUGCACUCAAUUGUAUUUAUAACCACAUCAAGUCUUCAAGGUGAAUAGCCUCUGGUCGUGGAAAAAUGUAGGCAAGGGAAGUUAGCAAAAUGAAUUCAUGACCUUAAGAAAAAUUUGGCUUUUAGGGCUGGGCAUAGGAGUUCAAGUCCUAAACCUAUCGACUAUCGAUGCACUGCUUAAGCUACUCCUAUAAAGAGAGUAGGCCACUGUAUACCAGUUAAGGGAUAGACUAAGAAUGGCUCCCUUGAGGGCCUACCUUGGGUGACCAGCAGUCAACUUAGAACUGGUACGAACAAGGGGAAUCCAAUCAUUUAAUUAAAACAAUGCCUUGCAAUGGUCUUUACAGAUGCUCACAUAAUGUGAUUUCUACCCAGUGCUCUAAAUGUCAAAAUGAAAAAAUUCAAUCAAGCGCGAGUAAAUAGCAGGUGUAACUAUGACUCUCUUAACAUAGCCAAAUGCCUCAUCAUCCAAUUAGUGAUGCACAUGAAUAGAUUAAUGAGAUUCCCACUGUCCCUAUCUACUACCUAGUGAAACCACUACCAAGGGAAUAAGCUAGGUAGAAUCAGCAGGGAAAUAAGACCCUAUUGAGCAUGACUCUAGUCUGACUUUGUGAAAUGACUUUAGAGGUGUUGGAUAAAGGGGAGUCCUUGGGCAAAAUUAAAAUACCUCUACUUUUAAAGUUAUUUUACUUAUUCGAUGAAUCAGAGGUAGGCUAUAACCCCUUUUCUUAGACCCAAGGCAAACUUUCAUCAGUUGAUCAAGGUAAAAGACAUUGUCAAUGGGAAGUUUGGCUAAGAUGGCAUAUCUAUUAAAAAAUAACAUUGGUGUCCUAGCAUGAGCUCAAUGAAAACAUAAAUCUUGUAUGGAACAAAAGGGUAAAAGCUCAUUUGAUUUUGAUUUCUAAUACAAAUACAAACUAUGAAAGCAUGGCCUGUCAAUCCUUUAAACCUUCAAAUUUUGAAGCUAGAGGUGUUAGAAAAGUUACCAUAUGGAUACCUGGCUUACGAUAGCCAAGCGUUCAUCAUAGCAUUAGGUUUUGUUCCUUCGAUGUCGGAUCAUCCUAUGAUUAUAAAGCAAAAUUCACUAAGAGUUGGAUUGUUCACUCACUAAUAAGGAAUGUGAGCUAGGUUUAGACCAUCAUGAGAUAGGUUAGUUUUACCCUAUUGAUGGCAAUGUUGCAAUAGUAAUUCAACCUAGUACGAGAGGAACUGUUGAUUCACACAAUUUGUCAUUAUGCUUGGUUGAAAAGUCAAUGGCAUAAAGCUACUAUGAGUUAGAUUAGGACUAAAUGCCUCUAAGUUAAAAUAUGGGAUAGAAGCAAUGCACAUCCCUACCACCCGAUUGCUAACCCCCAAUAGAGGCCUACAACCCCUAAGGGCACGUGUCGUCGAUGCAGCCCUAGCGGUGGACAAGCCACACGAGCGUCUUUAGAACUCAAUUCCCAUCAAGUGGUGGGAAGAAUCUUUUGCAGAUGACUUAAAUAUGCGAUGGGGUAUUGUACAUGCCUUAACC